rnacentral:rRNA from 1 species
AUUGAACGCUGGCGGCAUGCCUAACACAUGCAAGUCGAACGGUAACAGAACUAGCUUGCUAGUUGCUGACGAGUGGCGGACGGGUGAGUAAUGUAUAGGGAUCUGCCUAGUAGUGGGGGACAACAUGUGGAAACGCAUGCUAAUACCGCAUACGCUCUACGGAGGAAAGUGGGGGACCUUUCGGGGCCUCAUGCUACUAGAUGAACCUAUAUUGGAUUAGCUAGUUGGUAAGGUAAUGGCUUACCAAGGCGACGAUCCAUAGCUGGUUUGAGAGAAUGAUCAGCCACACUGGGACUGAGACACGGCCCAGACUCCUACGGGAGGCAGCAGUGGGGAAUAUUGCACAAUGGGCGCAAGCCUGAUGCAGCAAUGCCGCGUGUGUGAAGAAGGCCUUAGGGUUGUAAAGCACUUUCAGACGUGAGGAAAAGUUAUAAGUUAAUAACUUAUAACCUUGACGUUAACGUCAGAAGAAGGACCGGCUAACUCCGUGCCAGCAGCCGCGGUAAUACGGAGGGUCCAAGCGUUAAUCGGAAUUACUGGGCGUAAAGCGCGCGUAGGCGGAUAUUUAAGUCAGAUGUGAAAUCCCUGGGCUCAACCUAGGAACUGCAUUUGAUACUGGGUAUCUAGAGUAUGGUAGAGGUGAGUGGAAUUUCAGGUGUAGCGGUGAAAUGCGUAGAGAUCUGAAGGAACAUCAGUGGCGAAGGCGACUCACUGGGCCAUUACUGACGCUGAGGUGCGAAAGCGUGGGUAGCAAACAGGAUUAGAUACCCUGGUAGUCCACGCCCUAAACGAUGUCAACUAGUGGUAUGGGAGUUUAACUCCUGUGUAUCGAAGCUAACGCGAUAAGUU